rnacentral:rRNA from 1 species
GACGAACGCUGGCGGCGUGCUUAACACAUGCAAGUCGAACGGAAAGGCCCUGCUUUUGUGGGGUGCUCGAGUGGCGAACGGGUGAGUAACACGUGAGUAACCUGCCCUUGACUUUGGGAUAACUUCAGGAAACUGGGGCUAAUACCGGAUAGGAGCUCCUGCUGCAUGGUGGGGGUUGGAAAGUUUCGGCGGUUGGGGAUGUACUCGCGGCUUAUCAGCUUGUUGGUGGGGUAGUGGCUUACCAAGGCUUUGACGGGUAGCCGGCCUGAGAGGGUGACCGGCCACAUUGGGACUGAGAUACGGCCCAGACUCCUACGGGAGGCAGCAGUGGGGAAUAUUGCACAAGGGGCGGAAGCCUGAUGCAGCAACGCCGCGUGCGGGAUGACGGCCUUCGGGUUGUAAACCGCUUUCGCCUGUGACGAAGCGUGAGUGACGGUAAUGGGUAAAGAAGCACCGGCUAACUACGUG